GAUGAAGAACGUAGUGAAAUGCGAUAAGUAAUGCGAAUUGCAGAAUUCAGUGAGUCAUCGAAUCUUUGAACGCACAUUGCGCCCCUUGGUAUUCCAUGGGGCAUGCCUGUUCGAGCGUCAUUUGUACCUUCAAGCUCUGCUUGGUGUUGGGUGUUUGUCUCGCCUCUGCGCGUAGACUCGCCUCAAAACAAUUGGCAGCCGGCGUAUUGAUUUCGGAGCGCAGUACAUCUCGCGCUUUGCACUCAUAACGACGACGUCCAAAAGUACAUUUUUACACUCUUGACCUCGGAUCAGGUAGGGAUACCCGCUGAACUUAAACAUAUCAAUAAGCGGAGGA
rnacentral:misc_RNA from 1 species